AGGAUAAACGCUGGCGGCGUGCAUGAGACAUGCAAGUCGAACGGACGAUCAGGGCUUGCUCUGAUCGUUAGUGGCGGACGGCUGAGUAACGCGUAGGUGACCUGCCCCGAAGUGGGGAAUAACUGCCCGAAAGGGUGGCUAAUACCGCAUGUGGUGGUGUGUUCAUUCACACCAGUAAAGCCGCAAGGCGCUUCGGGAGGGGCCUGCGUCCGAUUAGCUCGUUGGUGGGGUAACGGCUCACCAAGGCGACGAUCGGUAGGUGGUCUGAGAGGACGAUCACCCAGACUGGGACUGAGACACGGCCCAGACUCCUACGGGAGGCAGCAGUCGGGAAUUUUGCGCAAUGGACGAAAGUCUGACGCAGCAACGCCGCGUGAGGGAUGAAGGCCUUCGGGUUGUAAACCUCUUUUAUCAGGGAAGAUAAUGACGGUACCUGAUGAAUAAGUCACGGCUAACUACGUGCCAGCAGCCGC
rnacentral:rRNA from 1 species